rnacentral:rRNA from 1 species
CAAAAGCAAGAGGGAGAAUAGUUAGAAUAAAGUACGAUGAGAGUUAACUUGUCGGAAUAUAGGGGAACCAUCCUCUAAGGCUAAGUAUUAUAAAUUUAGCAAUAGCGAAAAGUACUGUAAAGGAAAAUUUUGAAAAGCAAGUAGUAUACUAAAGAUAUCAUAAAUAAAAAAAAGGUAGUGUUAUUUUAUAAUAUUAUCUUUUUUUUUAUUAAUUUAACUUAUUACUUAUCUUUAUUUUUUUAAACUAUCUCUAACCCUCUUUUGUAUUUAUAUAUAAAAAAAUAUAAAUACAAAUGAAAAACGGGGAAACUAGAGUUGCUUCGCUAGUAGUUUAAAAAAAUUAAAUAAGUAUAUAAAUUAUAAAAUAUGGUAUGGGUGAAAAGAUCGUGAAUUAGUAACUCUAUAAGCAGUCGAAGUUUCAUUACAAAAGUAAAAAGAAAUGACGGCGUACCUUUUGCAUAAUGGGUCAGCAAGUUAAUAGGAGUAGCAAGGUUUAAACCUUAGCGAAAGCGACUGGACUAUAAAAAUAGUGAUGGGUAAGUUACUUCUAUUAGACCCGAAGCCAGGUGAUCUUACCAAGACCAGAUUAUAAUGGAUCGAACGGUUGAAUGUUGCAUAAUUCUCCGAAGAGUUUUGGUAAGCGGUGAAAUGCCAAUCUGACCUGGUGCUAGCUGGUUUUCUACCGAAACAUAUUUAAGUAUGAUGUCUAUCUAUAGAUUUAUGAAGGUACAGCAAGGCGAUUCCCAACAAGUUUAAUUUAAAUAAUUAUUUAUUUAAAUUUUAUACGUUUAGGUUGCGGGGACCUCGAAAAUCUUACCUUUGGAAGCGAAUCUCGGAAUUACAUAAAUUGAUGGUAGAUAUUCAGACUGUUCAUGCUAAGUUGGACAGUCAAGACGGAAACAGCCGAGAACACUGAUCAAGGUCCCAAAUGAUUGUUAAGUGAAAUUAAGGACGUAGCAAUAUCGUAUACAGCUGUGAAGUGAGCCUGGCAGUCGCUACUUAUAAUGAUCGUACGUAACAACGCAUCAGCAGUAAUUUUACUUAAAAAAAGUAAUAAAUGAUAGUAGCGCCGAAAAUUUAACGGGUCUUAAACAAUCAACCGAUAUCGUGUUGGUUAAAAAUAAUUUUUACACAGGUUGCAUAGAAUUAUUUUUUAAUCUAGGUAGUAGAACAUUCAGUAAAACUGUUUAUAAAAUAGUGUUUCAUUAUUUUUUAGGUUACUGAAGAGAGAAUGCUGACAUGAGUAACGUAAAAAAUUCCUAUAAUGGAAUUCGCCGAAUACGAAAGGGUUGCAAAUAUGAAAGGUUAAACCGUUUUGUUUUAAUGCGGCCUCUAAGGACUAUAGCCAAAGCUAUGGCUGAUGAGUAAUAAAUAGAAAGUCCAAUAUUUAAAAAAUGGACCAGGAAAAUAAUAUUUAAUUUUACCCUCCCUUUGUUUAUAUUUUUAUAAAAAUAUAAAUAAAAAUCCUUCGGACUUCAGCUCCGUAGGAGGGGUAAAAACUACCGUACCCUAAACCGACACAGGUUCGUAGGUAGAGUAUACUAAGGCGUAGAGCUAAAAGUUGUUAAGGAACUCGGCAAGUACACCUCAUAAGUUUGACGACAAGAGGUACCUUAAGUAAUAUACCUUAAGGUGGCACAAAAUCGGAGGCCCCGACUGUUUACUAAAAACACAACACAGUGCAAUCAUUAAUAUGGUAGUAUACUGUGUGAAAUUUGCCCGAUGCCAUUAAUAUAAGAAAAGUUAUGGUUAUUAUUUACUGUGACUAAUCGAAAAUCUGGUUAAUAGCGGUCUUAACUAUGAGGAUCCUAAGGUAGCAAAAUCAGUUGGCCAUUAAAUGUGGUCCGGUAUCAAUAAUGUAACGAUGGUCUCACUGUCUCUACAACUUGCUCAGUGAAAUUGAAUUACGCGUGCAGAUGCGCGUUGCCUCCAGGGGGACGGGAAGACCCUAUGCAGCUUUACUGUAGUUAGUUAUCAUAUGAAUCUAGAACAAUCUUGUUUAAUAGUGAAUAGGAAUGUCGAUAGACUAAAUAGUGGAAACCUUAUAAACAAGGUUGGGUUUGUGUUUACCUGAUAAUUUAAAAUUUAAAAUCUCAGGGAUAGUUGACUAAUUGGCAGUUUGACUGGGGCGGUCGUCUUUAAUAGAGUAGCAAAGUACAUCCAAAUAUAUCAAACUACAAGUAAAAACAAACCUUUUCUCUCCUACUUUAUAUUUUAAAUAUAAAGCAGAGCAAAAGUCAAAAGGGGGAUAAAGUUUUAUAACAAAAAAGUUUAAUCUUUUUAAAACUAUUAUAAGUAUAUUUAUAUAAUCUAAUUCUGGUCAAAUUAAUUAUAUUUAUAUGGCUUUAUUUUAGCUUUAAUUAAGGUUUAAAUUUUUAAUUUUUAAUUUUUAAUAUAUAAUUUAUAAGGUAUAGCUAGAAAUUGAAUGGAGAUCAAUCAACCAGUGAAGGGUUGCGCAGGGCUCAAUGGCGAUAAGCAUGCUUAACUGAAAGACUCAAAAGUCGCACAGAUACGUAAGUAGGGCAUAGUGACCCCUCGCUAUAGUAUGGGAUAGACGGGGAUCAAUUAAUAAAAGUUACGCUAGGGAUAACAGGCUGAUCGCGGACGAGAGUACACAUUGUCUCCGCGGUUUGGCACCUCGAUGUCGACUCAUCCUAUCCUCCGGGGGAAGAAGCUUGGAAGGGUUCGGCUGUUCGCCGAUUAAAAGGGUACGUGAGUUGGGUUUAAUACGACGUGAGUCAGUAUGGUCCCUAUCUUCUGGAGGGAUAAUUAG